GACGAACGCUGGCGGCGUGCCUAACACAUGCAAGUCGGACGAGGACACCCUCGGGUGGAUCCGAGUGGCGGACGGGUGAGUAACACGUGACCAAUCUGCCUUCGAGAGGGGGAUAACCUGGGGAAACUCGGGCUAAUACCGCAUGACGUGUCGUGCUCGCAUGGGCGUGACACCAAAGGGAGGCCUCUACUUGUAAGCUUCCGCUCGAAGAGGAGGUCGCGGCGUAUCAGCUAGUUGGUAGGGUAACGGCCUACCAAGGCGACGACGCGUAGCGGGUCUGAGAGGACGAUCCGCCACAUUGGGACUGAGAUACGGCCCAGACUCCUACGGGAGGCAGCAGUGGGGAAUAUUGCGCAAUGGCCGAAAGGCUGACGCAGCGACGCCGCGUGUGGGAGGAAGCCCUUCGGGGUGUAAACCACUGUCAGGAGGGACGAAUCGCGGACGGGCAAACAGCCCGGACGCUUGACGGUACCUCCAAAAGGAAGCACCGGCUAACUCCGUGCCAGCAGCCGCGGUAAGACGGAGGGUGCAAGCGUUGUUCGGAAUUACUGGGCGUAAAGCGCGGGCAGUGGUUCUUAAGUCCUUUGUGAAAUUCCGGGGCUCAACUCCGGAUGUGCAGAGGAUACUGGAGAACUGGGGACUGGUAGAGGCGAGCGGAAUUCCUGGUGUAGCGGUGGAAUGCGUAGAUAUCAGGGAAGAACACCGGUUGGGGCGAAGGCGGCUCGCUGGGGCCAAGUUCUGACACUCAUCC
rnacentral:rRNA from 1 species